rnacentral:rRNA from 1 species
CUACGGGAGGCACCAGUCGAGGAAAUUUUACAAUGCUCGAAAGAGUGAUAGAAUGAGUCAGAGUGUUUCUCUUAGAGAAACUUUUAUCUGUUGCAAAAAGACAGAUGAAUAAGGACUGGGAAAGACCGGUGCCAGCCGCCGCGGUAAUACCGGCGGUCCAAGUCGCAUCCACAUUUAUUGGGUCUAAAACAUUCGUAGCUUGUUUUGUAAGUCUCUUGUGAAAUUUUAUAUCUCAAAUAUAAAGCUUGCAAGAGAUACUACAUUACUAGAGACCGGAAGACGUAAGGAGUAUGAUUAAGGUAGCGGUAAAAUGUGUUAAUCUUAAUCAGACUAACAAUAGCGAAGGCACCUUACGAGUACGGAUCUGACAGUGAGGAAUGAAGGCUAGGGGCGCAAAAGGGAUUAGAUACCCGUGUAGUC